rnacentral:rRNA from 1 species
UACGUAGGGUGCAGGCGUUAAUCGGAAUUACUGGGCGUAAAGCGUGCGCAGGCGGUUUGCUAAGACAGGUGUGAAAUCCCCGGGCUAAACCUUGGAACUGCAUUUGUGACUGCAUAGCUAGAGUACGGUAGAGGGGGAUGGAAUUCCGCGUGUAGCAGUGAAAUGCGUAGAUAUGCGGAGGAACACCGAUGGCGAAGGCAAUCCCCUGGACCUGUACUGACGCUCAUGCACGAAAGCGUGGGGAGCAAACAGG